UUUUUUUUUUUUUUUGUGGAUUUUCAUUCCCUAUCUCACACAGUCUCUUCAUCCUUUAUACCAUCUGGUAAAGGAAAAGUACUCUGUGCAACUGUGGAUCAAAACCUCAAACUAUCUUUGGGAAAACCAAAAUACUAUUGAAGCAAAUUAAAGCUCUGGGUAUAUUCUAAGCAUUUGAGUUAAUGUAUCUGGAAGAGAUGGGUCCAGGCACUGUGGCAUAGACAACAACAAGAGAGAGUACCCCUAGUAUAGUCCCAGCUGAGCCAGGGGGACAGAAACCCAAUAUACCACCUUAGAGUAACAGCUCCUAGUAGUGUACAUAGUGCUCCUCGGAGGAGAGCCCCUCACAUAGUAGCCAGUGCAGCUGACAGUGGAAUAAACUCAGAGCAGUUUGGCUGAUGCUCACUCAUGAGUCCUAAACAUUAACCCUUUUUACUCACUGUUGGGCUGUUCUAAAGGGAUUAACCUUAUGACAUGGAUGAUGGGAAGCCAAAGGGGGGAAAUUCACACCUUUGUGGGGUCAGGAUAUGUGGUGGAGGGGGGCACAUUUGGGCUCACCUGCAAGAGCCUGAGGCUGUUCUCACUGUCUUCCAUGUCCCAACUCAAAUACUGACACCCCCUGGCAAUCACAGAACUGAUGUCCUAGCUCAGUACAAACCCCUGGCAACCGACCUUUCAGUAAAUACAGCGGAUUGGGAGCAGAGUGGCCACCACUGUGCCCAGGUAGGAGGGCAUAUUGCCAAAGACGCCAGAUUGCCCUUGAGAUAUAAUGACUUUGGGGCAGCCCUGAUGGCUUAGCGGUUUAGCGCCACCUUCAGUCCAGGGCCUGAUCCUGGAGACCUGGGAUCAAGUCCCAUGUCCAGCUCCCUGCAUCGAGUUGGCUUCUCCCUCUGCCUGUGUCUCUGCCUCUCUCUCUCUAUGUCUCUCAUGAAUAAAUAAAUAAAAAUCUUUAAAUAUAUAUAUAUAUAUAUAUAUAUAUAUAUAUAUAUAUAGAGAGAGAGAGAGAGAGAGAGAGAGACUUUGUUAAUGCAGUAGCAGUGUAUCUAUCCUGUGUGUUCUAAACAUCAUCGAAGGCAACUGGCAAAGGAAUCUGGGGUCCUCCACCAGAAUUCCAAACUGGUGAGGAAGUUUGGAAGAGGAAUUUUCUCUCCAAGUGAGAGUUCUAAAUAUGCCCCAGUUUGUGUGGACAUUGCAGCUGGCCUAAACCAAAGUGUUCCCCCCCCCAUAACCAUGUAAAGCAGGCUACAACCAUAGGGGGUUGGAGAAGCUGAGUAGCAUGUAUAGGUAGCCUCAGUGACAAAACAGUAAUCAGAAGUCACAUAUGCAAGACUGGGCAAAAGCACAUGACAUUGACUGGAGGUUCCAUCUUUCCUAUAACCUACAAACAGCUGGGUUAACAGAAAGGGAAAAAAAAUAAAUUAUUAAACCAGCAGAUUACAUUAUUAACAGAAAAAAUUGCCCUGUCUGGAUGUCCUAAAGUACUGUUCUAAGCUUUAAUACAUUUGAAUGAUCAACCAGAAGACUCCUGCCAAGGCACCCAAUACCAAAAAGGUAUAGAAAUCAUAGAAACGGCCAUUGCCCUGACUCUUAUCAUGGAUCAAUGUGCUAUGCAGCUGAGAAUACAGAGCCUCGUCAGCACCUGGGAGAACAAUUAUCUGCUGGAAUUUGCAAUGGAAAAUCCUGCCAGGAUGGAGGAGUUACUUUGAACCUCUGGAUGAGGGAGAACUACUCAAUCUCAACUGCAAUCCCAUUAUCCUGCUGCAAGCUGAAUUUAUGGAAAUUCAUUAUACCUGGGCUUGAACGCAUACCAUUGAAAGAGGGGGAAAGGUGGGGGGUCUUAGUCUAGUGUAUCCUGUUCUCCGUCCAUCUCACACUUGACAGUGCUGCUGUCCUCAGCCAACAUGUAUGCUUUGUACAAUCAGGUCAAGUUCCUAAGACUGUCAGUCUACCUCUCCUCAAGCCCAGGUGAGAAGGUUCUGUUUUUAAUGGUAUGAGCAUUUGGCCACCGUAUUUGUUUCUUCCACUGGCCUAGACGACAAUAGCACACAGAGAGGCCCUUAUUAAAUUCACCCUUCAAGUCUUAAAAUGAUAGCCAACAAAACUCAUCCUUGAUGAACACUAAAAUAUCUCUAAUAAGAAAAACUAUCCUCCAAAAUAGGAAGGCCGAGGACAUUAUUAAAAGGAAGCAUAUAUGCAAUUAUCCAAAGAGAAUGUUGUUUGUUCAUACCUAAUGAGUGUGUUAUUUUAAUUAAAUCACAAUAGAGAUAUAAGUGGAUGCCAUGGGUGAUCCAACACCCAGUCUAGGAGAGUUAGAUCUAUUAUUUGGAUGAUGGCAAUCUUGGAAAAAAUUGUCACCUGUUUUGAGAAUCAUUGUCUUAAUCUGUGUUUUUUCUCACAUAUACAGUAUUGUUGCUGUGGCAUCUACCUCCAAUGGAGCCAGAUAGCCACCAAAGGAGCCACAUCCAGGUUAGUGAAACCCUUUGCUGCCCACUCAGGUCACAUGGUGGAAGAGGGAGGCAUAUGAGAAUGACAAGGGGUAAAAUAUUGGGGGAAGCCAUUGAGAAGAACUAUGAGCUAGACCCAGGCAACGAGAGGCUCUUUACCCUCUCCUCUUUCUUAGGAUGUGCAUUAUUUGUCUUCCCUAUUCCAAAAAGUUGCCCCAAGGACAGUCUUGCAAUAAUGAUGUGUUGAGAAUAUGUGGACUGUAUAUGUAACUAAACCCAGUUAAGACCUCAAUAUACACUUUUAAGAUUUGGCAGGUGGGUACAGAGCUCUACUCAUCUCUUGGCCACCCAAGACAAGCCUCAUAUGUAAGUUCCUCUGCUUAUUAAAACUGCCACCAAUAAAUCUGAAGUAGCUUGCCUCUUUCUUCAGUUUACCCCUGCCCUAUGUAUAGAGGGGCCAGUUUAUAAACCAACAAUAAGGAAAAUGUUUUAAUAGAUAAACCCAAUGCACAUUCAGCACAUUUUAAAACCAUGCUUUUAAAUAGGCACAGCACAACGGAAACUACUCUAUACACCUAAGAAUUGCAUUUUACCCAAUAAGUAAUAGAGAAUUGAGCUGAAUUAUUAAGCCUAGGCCCAAAACUACAUGCAAGGGAAAUCCUCCAAUAAAAUUUGCACUUUGUUAUGCAUAGUCAACCAAAGUGGAUUUUUGAUGUGUAGCAUUGAGCUCUUAUACUUUAAAAGUGCAGUGGCCUUUUGGAUUUGUAAUUCAAUGCACAGUAACUAUAAUACCAUAGUAAGUCCUUGAUUUUCUUUCCCUUGAAAUGUACAACAUAGUUUUAAAAUGAGUGCCUUCACAACACAGACCCAUCUAUUUUGUGUGUGUGUGUGCUUGUCGGUAGUGAUAUAUUUAUUACAUGCUUGCAGAGUAUGUUAAUAUGCUUCAAAGCUGCCCCAAAACAAUUAGUGUUAAGAGUAUAUAGUUAAUAAAAAUGCUAUAGAAAAAUAUCAUGUUGAAGUAUAGCCUAAUCACAAUUUCACACUUUCUAAGCUGGAAACUUUUAUGUAGUUGGUAUAAUUUUCUCUCUACCAAUUUUCUCAGCCCAUAUUUAAAUGUAAGUAAAUAUUAUCACGUUGUGUUUGUUUCUUUUGCUAUUUUUUUUCCAUAGGACAU
rnacentral:lncRNA from 1 species